AACGAACGCUGGCGGCAGGCCUAACACAUGCAAGUCGAACGCCCUAGCAAUAGGGAGUGGCGCACGGGUGCGUAACGCGUGGGAAUAUGCCCUUGACUACGGAACAACACAGGGAAACUUGUGCUAAUACCGUAUAAUGUCUCCGGACCAAAGAUUUAUCGGUCAAGGAUUAGCCCGCGUUAGAUUAGCUAGUUGGUGAGGUAAUGGCUCACCAAGGCUACGAUCUAUAGCUGGUCUGAGAGGAUGAUCAGCCACACUGGGACUGAGACACGGCCCAGACUCCUACGGGAGGCAGCAGUGAGGAAUAUUGGACAAUGGGGGCAACCCUGAUCCAGCCAUGCCGCGUGAGUGAUGAAGGCCUUCGGGUUGUAAACUCUUUAGAUGUGACGAUGAUGACGGUAACAUCAGAAAAGACUCCGGCUAACUUCGUG
rnacentral:rRNA from 1 species